GGGACUUCAGGAAGCUGGGAACGCAAUACUGUCCCUACCUGCAUCGAGGUCCGUUGCGCCUCCCACCCCUCCCAUGUUGAGGGACUCCCAGCACCGAGGUUGGAUGGCCUGUGCGCUACAUGAUUUCACGCGUGACCCCCAUCACGGCCUCAAAGGGAGAGCUGAUACUUUUGAGAGUGUUGUCAUCUAUCCAGAUGAACUGGGUGAUGCUCUUCUGCGCUGGACACUCAGCAUACGCUUCAAGCUCACUUGGUCUAACCUGGGACUUGGACCAACAUUCAACCUGGGGUGAAGCCUCACAACUGGUGGGCUGAGCUCCUGUUACUGCCCCGCUCACUGCCCCCUGUAGUAUGGCAAAUAAACUUGUUUUCUUUCUA
rnacentral:lncRNA from 1 species